CACUGGACCCGGCAGGAGCUACGGUGCUAAAGCUAAAAACACCGGCAGUGGUGCAUCGCCAUGGAUCACCGCACGGCGAUAUUCAGGGAGCCCAUGUUGGGGAGGAGGGCUGACAGACAGAAAGCCUGUCUGCCGGGAAACAAUGAGCGCUGUCCGCGGUGCUGAAAACAAAAGCCCGAGGACAACCAUCCAAAAUUGAGGUUCAUCUGAGGCCAGGAGGGGGCAGAAGUGGGCUGCUGGAGCGAGGCCCAACAUGGACUCACGGGGGAAACGGCAUUUACCAACCCCAAAACAACUCCCAAACCAGUGGCGAUUAAUUUUGCAAAGUGUACCGAGUAAAUGUAUUAAAUGUAGCAAAUCAAUGUAUUAUAGAAAAUCCCUAAACCCUAUAAUUAACAAAGGCAGUAUGAUACUUAAAUGCAUAAGUGCAGCAGAACAACACAUUGGGAAACAAAUGCCUCUUAGCUAUUGUAUAUUACAUAUAUUACAUAUAGAAAGGGGUUCAUUUAGUCCUAUAUUUUUGGAUAUUAGUUUUGCAUAAAUGCCAUUGCCUUUUAAAAUCCACGUGCAGUAAGGAAACGGUAAUUCAUUAGGGAGAGAAAAUAUAUUGAAAUAAUGAUUAUUUAUAUAAAUGAGUUGAGUUGAAGCUGAUUUUGCCGAUCCCACCUUGUAACCUCACUUCUGCACACACUACACGGUGUGUAGUAAAGUACAGUGCAGCGACCUAGCCUGCAUGACCAUAAACUGGAGUAUUAUUGUGAGUUUAAGCAGCCCGGUGUCUCCAGUGCUGGUAAAUAUUAACAGAGAGCCGGUGCUGCUAUAAAUCAGCAGCAGUGAAGGCCACUCCGACAGCAGCAGCCUCCACACAGCGGCCCGACCGGAGCUGAGGCCCGGCCAGAGAGCCAGCUUUCCCAGGACAGGGGGCACAACAGCGGCCUCGUUAUCACGCUAAUCACACACCCACACACAUAUAGACACACACACACUGCUGCUGCACCCGGCUAAUCAUUACAAACACAGAUAACUCCACACACUCAGACUGCACACACUGGGCCUACAGACACGGUUAGUCCUGCAUUUCAUAAUCUCACAGAGAACAACAAACAGACAUCUGUGCUGCAAAUCCUGCAAAUAUUCAACGCUCUGUUUGAGAGAAUGUCUCUUCUUUACUGUGCUAAUACCCUCAAUUUCCUAAAACACCGGAAAACUAUUUAUUUUUUAAAGUUGUCAAUGCGAUUACAGCUGAUUUACGGAGUUUAAAUAGAUAUAUCAGUUCUGAAUGUAUUCAUUAUUAAAUAUGAAUUGUUCCCUAUCAAA